rnacentral:rRNA from 1 species
CCUACGGGAGGCAGCAGUGGGGAAUAUUGCGCAAUGGGCGAAAGCCUGACGCAGCAACGCCGCGUGUGUGAAGAAGGCCUUCGGGUUGUAAAGCACUGUCAAGAGGGAAGAAUGACCGAUGAUGAAUCGGUAGUGACGGUACCUCUAAAGGAAGCACCGGCUAACUCCGUGCCAGCAGCCGCGGUAAUACGGAGGGUGCUAGCGUUGUUCGGAAUUACUGGGCGUAAAGCGCGUGUAGGCGGGUUCGCAAGUCUGAUGUGAAAGCCCGGGGCUCAACCUCGGAAGUGCAUUGGAAACUGCGAACCUUGAGUACUGGAGGGGAAAGUAGAAUUCCGAGUGUAGAGGUGAAAUUCGUAGAUAUUCGGAGGAACACCAGUGGCGAAGGCGACUUUCUGGACAGAUACUGACGCUGAGACGCGAAAGCGUGGGGAGCAAACAGG